CCGCGUAACACUGUCAAAACUUACACCGCCUCAUUUGAUAAAAGCACCCCUUAAUCCUCAUUGCAUAAAUUGCAGAGCGAAAUUCCAAACCCUAAUGAAAAAUUCCCCUCUUUCUUUCAGGGAAUUCGACGAUAAUCCAAAUUCCACUUCUUCCUCAAACAUUAUGAUGGAAUGCGAAGUUCCGGAAUUCGAAAUUCCAAAUUCCAUCUUUCUAUUUCUGGAUAUCAAUUUCCGUAAUUGAAAAUCUUCAAUUCAUGUGAGUGGUAAUUGAUUGCCGUGUUUUGAAUUAUCGCCUUCUGAAGAGCCAACAAUGAAGAUCUCUUUGAUUUUGCUAUGUAGUUACAUUGAGUUAUUGGAGUACGAAGAACGAAUGUAUAAGUUAGAAGGUUGUUAGAAGGUUGUUUGAAGGUAUUGGUUCUUCGUAGGCAGACUUACGUUUUCUACGAUCAAUUCUUUGUAAUCGUAUGGGUGCGCCUCCACUUCUGCGAGGCAUGCGCCUCCUUACGCCUUCGCGCCUUAUCUAGGUUUGACAAUGUCCGAGGAAGAUGUAUUGUCAUCCGUGAGACCGUGAGUGGAUUUUUGACAUGAUAAAGAAGAUCACACUUCUUGCCAAAGAUGUUAUCCUCUCUAUAGGUUUCCUCAACAUCACAGAAUAAAGAUUGAAGCAAAGAUUUAGGAGAGGUAGGUAGUGGGAUGGUGGGUAUAUUUUUUAUUUUAUUCAGAUAUGGUAGUUUAAAUUGAAAAUAUUUUUGCUCGCAGUUUAUCUUUGCUAUGAUAUACUUGUAUUUAAAGCUGGAAAAUAAUCAGUGUGUUAGGUAGGUACCAUGUCAUGUAUAACUUCCAAGUGUGGUUGAUGUCAAUGCUUGUUGUCUACUAGCUUACUUAGGCAGGUAGUUUUGUAUAUUCUUAUGGGUCUAUGGGAAUUUGAUAUGAUGCAAGUUCUGAAUGGACGGACUACAUUCUCUGAAAGAGUAUGGUCAUGUUGGAAGAGUAUGAAGAGAUUGGUCAUUACUGUCUUGUCUUCUGUUGCAUCAAAUUUUGGUUUGCAGCAAUAUAAGAGGAAAUGCUUUGAGGUAAUUGUGUACAUCUUGGGAAUAAAAAGGUGACAUAAGGUUUAAGGCUCUUUUGGUGAUGUGUUCAUCAUGUGAUGUAUAAGUGGAGUAAUGUUUUCGGUGUUUAUUGUAAACAUGUUAAAGAAUUUUUAAAGGAAGUGAUGGGUUUCGGGGGUUUGUGCUCUUUUGCAGUUCGUAUCUAUCGUGAAUCACAUCUGUGAGAUCCUUUUAUGGGAGAUGUGUUGACGACUUAGACAUUAUGUUAACCUAUAUGUGUGUUGAAGUGAUUUACUGAUUGUUCUAUUUUUAAUAAGCAAAUCUUCAUUUUUAAAAAAAUAUUCUUUUUUCAGAAAAAUGUCGUUUUAAAAAUUAUUUUCCUCCAAAAAAAUAUGUUCUCUUUUCGCUGAAAAUAUGUUUUAUAUUUGAUACGCAUAUGUUCAAUUUAAGUAAUUGAAUUCUAGUAAUAUUUAACUUCAACAAGAAAAUGUUCAUUUUCAUAAUUGGAUUCUGGUAAUGUUCCACUUUAAUAGUAAGACGUUCUUUUUCUUAAAAGAAUUAUUGUAAUGUUCAAUUUCAACAAGUAAAAUGGUCGUUUCAGUAAGUGCAUUUUUGUAAUGUUUUACUUUCAACAGUAAAAUGUUCGUUUUCAUAUUCGGAAAUGUUCUAUUUUGUAUGUUGGAGCACAGUUCUCAUUGUGCUCAUGGGAGCACAAACCAGAAAAGUGCUCGUAUUAAUGUUCUAGUGGAGUAAUGUUUUUUAAGGUUUUUUCUGUUUACAUGUUUAGUAUUUAGGGGCCCAAUGUUCAGUUUUGUGGUUGGUUUUGUGGAUUUUUAGUAUUUAGGGGCCAGUGUUCAGUUUUGUGGUUGGUUUUGUGAAUUAGAUUUAUAAGACUAAUAUAUAAGUGAUCUGUUGACAAUUUAACAAUCUAAUCGUGUUGAGGAAAUGUGAAUAGUGACUAAGUUCAUUUAGAUUUAAUUGUCGUUGCUUAGUGGUUUUGUGAUCUGAUUGACUAGAUAAAAUAUUAAUGACAAUUUAAGUUGUAUAUCUUUUUCAAAGCAAAGAACAAUGGGUGCAUGGUGAUCAUCCAAUGACCACGAUAUCUUGUAUGAUGAAGUGAGUGAAAGAGAGUCUUGGUUUCCAGCAAAUGACAAGAAAUACUUUGUAUGAAUUGUAUACUAGUUGUGGAAAAAACGAGGUGACCUAAGGUUUUAGGCUAUUUAGGUGUGUUGUCGAGAUUUGAUAGUUAUUACGGUUGGUAUUGGGGAUGAGAUUAUGUGAUUAUUUGGGGAAAAUGGGAAUUUGGAUUUAUCCUCAUUAUUGUCGGAUUUGUGUUUUGAUUGACCAAAGAUAGUAUUAAUGACAAGUCGGGGGUCGAUAAUUGUGUUUAGCAUUAGUGGUGUGUAUGCUGAGCACCCAAUAACUAUGGUUAUUUGGAUGAUGAAGUGAGUGGAAGAGAAUCUUGCAUAGAUGUCAAGUAAUCGAUCAACAUACAACAAUUUUUCUGUUUGAUGAUUAUAUGGGCAAUGAAUAUGAAAUUAGAGUUGACAACAAUAAAAAAAAUUAGUGGAAUUGAGUUGGUCCUUCCCCUCAUGAUUUUGGCGAAAUAUGAGAAAAUGAAUUAAUGAUUUGAAUUAAUUAUAUACUACUUGGGGAAAAGAAAGGUGACAUAAGUUUUGAGCCUAUUUAGGAGAUGUCAUUAUCAUGUGAUGUACUUGAAAUGUUCCCCUAUUAAUGUACUAGUGGAGUAAUGUCUUUAGUUUUUUUUUUCUUUUUUCUUUUUACAUGUUUAGUAUUUAGGGGGCCUGAUGUUAAGUGUUGUGGUUGGUUUUAUGAAUGAGAUUUUAAAGACUAGUAUAUGAGUGAUCAUAAGUUUUUGGCCUAUUUAGGAAAUGUCAAUAUCAUGUUAUGUACCACAAUAGUGCUUCUAUCAAUGUACUAGUGGAGUAAUGUAAUGAGGUUUUUUCAUUUUACAUGUAUAAUAUUUAGGGGCCGGUGUUGAGUGUUGUUAAUGAAAUUUUUAUGACCAAUAUACGAGUGAUUUGUUAACAAGCUAACCUUAUUAAGGAAAUGUGAAUAGUGAUCACUUCAUUUGGAUCUAAUUGUCGUUGUUCCUUAGUGGUUUUGUGAUCUAAUUGACCGGAGAUAAUAUUAAUGGCAAUUUGAGGCUGGAAUAUCUUGUUCGGAACAACAAACAAUGGUGUGCAUGGUGAUCAACCAAUGACCACGAUGUCUUUUAUGAUGAAGUGAGUGAAAGAGAGUCUUGGUUUCCAGCAAAUGAGAGGAAUUGCUUUGAAUGAAUUGUAUACUACUUGUGG